rnacentral:rRNA from 1 species
UACCAUGGUGGUAACGGGUAACGGGGUGUUAGGGCACAACAUCGGAGAGGGAGCCUGAGAAACGGCUACCACAUCCAAGGAUGGCAGCAGGCGCGCAAAUUACCCAAUCCCGACACGGGGAGGUAGUGACAAUAAAUAACAAUACGGGGUUCUUUAGGAUCUCGUAAUUGGAAUGAGUACAAUUUAAAUCUCUUAACGAGGAACAAUUGGAGGGCAAGUCUGGUGCCAGCAGCCGCGGUAAUUCCAGCUCCAAUAGCGUAUAUUAAAGUUGUUGCAGUUAAAAAGCUCGUAGUUGAAUUUCGGAGUUUGUCGGUUGGUCGGGCUUCACUGUCCGCACUGACCUGAUGGAUUCCUACCUUCUGAAUAACCAGCAUGCUAUUAAGUUAGUGCGUUGGGGAAGCAGAGCUAUUACCUUGAAAAAAUUAGAGUGCUUAAAGCAGGCUUAUGCUUGAAUAGAUUGGCAUGGAAUAAUAAAAUAGGACGGCAUGGUUCUAUUUUGUUGGUUUCUAGGAUCACCGUAAUGAUUAAUAGGGAUAGUUGGGGGCAUUAGUAUUCAAUUGUCAGAGGUGAAAUUCUUGGAUUUAUUGAAGACUAACUUCUGCGAAAGCAUUUGCCAAGGAUGUUUUCAUUAAUCAAGAACGAAAGUUAGGGGAUCGAAGACGAUCAGAUACCGUCGUAGUCUUAACCAUAAACUAUGCCGACUAGGGAUCGGAUGAUGUUAAUUUUUUAAUGACUCGUUCGGCGCCUUACGGGAAACCAAAGUGUUU